UACAGAGGGUGCAAGCGUUGCUCGGAAUUACUGGGCGUAAAGGGGAGGUAGGUGGUCCUGUGCGUCUACGGUGAAAUCCCUGGGCUUAACCCAGGAAGUGCCGUGGAUACGGCAGGACUAGAGUACUGGAGAGGGUCGUGGAAUUCCCGGUGUAGCGGUGAAAUGCGUAGAGAUCGGGAGGAACACCAGCGGCGAAGG
rnacentral:rRNA from 1 species